AUCUGCAAACGAGAUGUCAACAUAAUAAGCAGGAAGUUGCUGCGAAGGUGAGACUUGGUUAGCGAUGCUGACCGUGUUGACGCGGUGUGCACGGGGCUUUACAUGACAGGGCUAACAGGUUAACAAAGUGGCGAUUGGAAUUACGUAUCUGAUAUCUUGCAAAGUCCAUAUCCGAAAACAAAAAAAACAAAAAACAAAAAACGUGCAUCAAACCUAACGCAAGAAUUAUUCCUCACCUACUGGCUAUCGUGAUUACGAAAUACCUACUCACCGUAGUUUUGUUGGAGUUGGAUCUCUGCAAGGAUUAUUUCUCACUUACUGGCUAAUAAUCGUGAUUACGAAAUACCUACUCACCGUCGUUUUGUUGGAGUUGGAUCUCUGCAAGGAUUAUUUCUCACUUACUGGCUAAUAAUCGUGAUUACGAAAUACCUACUUACCGUCGUUUUGUUGGAGUUGGAUCUCUGCAAGGAUUAUUUCUCACUUACUGGCUAAUAAUCGUGAUUACGAAAUACCUACUCACCGUAGUUUUGUUGGAGUUGGAUCUCUGCAAGGAUUAUUUCUCACUUACUGGCUAUCGUGAUUACGAAAUACCUACUCACCGUAGUUUUGUUGGAGUUGGAUCUCUGCAAGGAUUAUUUCUCACUUACUGGCUAAUAAUCGUGAUUACGAAAUACCUACUCACCGUCGUUUUGUUGGAGUUGGAUCUCUGCAAGGAUUAUUUCUCACUUACUGGCUAAUAAUCGUGAUUACGAAAUACCUACUUACCGUCGUUUUGUUGGAGUUGGAUCUCUGCAAGGAUUAUUUCUCACUUACUGGCUAAUAAUCGUGAUUACGAAAUACCUACUCACCGUAGUUUUGUUGGAGUUGGAUCUCUGCAAGGAUUAUUUCUCACUUACUGGCUAAUAAUCGUGAUUACGAAAUACCUACUUACCGUCGUUUUGUUGGAGUUGGAUCUCUGCAAGGAUUAUUCUUCACUUACUGGCUAUCGUGAUUACGAAAUACUUACCGUUGUUUUGUUGGAGUUGGAUCUCUGCAAGGAUUAUUUCUCACUUACUGGCUAAUAAUCGUGAUUACGAAAUACCUACUUACCGUCGUUUUGUUGGAGUUGGAUCUCUGCAAGGAUUAUUCUUCACUUACUGGCUAUCGUGAUUACGAAAUACUUACCGUUGUUUUGUUGGAGUUGGAUCUCUGCAAGGAUUAUUUCUCACUUACUGGCUAAUAAUCGUGAUUACGAAAUACCUACUCACCGUCGUUUUGUUGGAGUUGGAUCUCUGCAAGGAUUAUUUCUCACUUACUGGCUAUCGUGAUUACGAAAAACCUACUUACCGUCGUGUUGUUGGAGUUGGAUCUCUGCAGGAGAGGUCGUCCUCCCGAUUUCUUUCGCACAUCGGACAACUUGCGCAAGGGUUGCAAAAGUCAUAAGUGUUGCUUCUUUCAAAGUAUUCAGAAACGGCUUCCACAAGAAUAUCUACGAAAAACCUUUUGUAAUCCAGCAAGCUUGGAACGAAAGAAAACAGUGUGCAAAGCGAAUCGCACGUGUUUGCUCCAGGUUUCCAGCGGCCAUUGCACAGGCUGACCAUGGCUGUCUCACGAGUCACACGCCCAAGGCAUUCUGAUUGUGCUAUCCAAACCAUCCAAAUCGGCUCUCGUUUCCAUUAUAAUCGUGCUGCGCAUGCGUGGCAUUUGGGCAUAAACUGCAUGUAAGCAGCGCUACUGCCUCCAGUUCGUCGCGUGGCCGCCAUUUUACGCAACGGGAACUCGGCCAAGUGGCUAUGGAUCUCUGCAGUGCUACCGCUAAAAUCACACACAAAGCGUUAAUUCCCUGAGUCAUCCGCUCUGUGAUCUUCUGAGCAGCAGGAGACAAGCCAUCACUAGUCACAUCACUGGAAGAGGAGCUCUUCAAGCCAAUCUUCUGUCGGGUUGUGGCUGUCGCUCCGGCAACAAUACUAAGGACAUAAGCCAUACAAAAGUAAUCCAGUUGUUAAAAAAUCUAGGUGAAUUGUCUCUGUAUAUAACUGAUGUUUCUAGGUGAUAUCAUUGUCUCGGUAUAUACCUUGGAUGUUUCUGGUGAUAUCAUUGUCUCGGUAUAUACCUGUGGAUGUUUCUAGUGAUAUCAUUGCAUCUGUGUAUACCUGGAUGUUUUUGUAAUAUACCUGGAUGUUUCUGGUGAUAUCAUUGCAUCUGUUUAUACCUGGAUGUUUUUGUAAUAUACCUGGAUGUUUCUGGUGAUAUCAUUGCAUCUGUGUAUACCUGGAUGUUUUUGUAAUAUACCUGGAUGUUUCUGGUGAUAUCAUUGUCUCGGUAUAUACCUGGAUGUUUCUGGUGAUAUCAUUGCAUCUGUGUAUAACUGGAUGUUUUUGUAAUAUACCUGGAUGUUUCUGGUGAUAUCAUUGUCUCUGUAUAUACCUGGAUGUUUUAGCUACUGCCCUGUUGAGUCGUUUAGGGAAUGACGGAGCAUUCUUGGCACUUUUGAUGAACCGCCGUACCCAGUUUCUUACCCCCUCCACUGAGCCAAACUCACUCAUAGGCAAGCGGGACCAGGGGUUGGUGUUAUUCAUAUCUAGCGCAGCGAUGGCCAAUGCUCUACCCACCUUUAUGUAAA